UCGUACAACCGAGGUGUCCGGGCUGUCGCUGGCCCCUCAAAGGUCGUGCACGCCCGAGCGCUCUCGCACAAUCCAUCUCACCCCUUUGUGCAUCACCGCGUGGGUCCCCCCCUUUUUCGGGGAGGGUUCGCGUUUUCACAUAAAACUUGAUACAGUCUAGAAUGUUUUAUUUUUGCGGUAACACGCGAUCAAUA
rnacentral:misc_RNA from 1 species